GGGGUUUUGGCUCAGUGGUAGAGUGCUUGCCUAGCAUGCAUGAGGUACUGGGUUCGAUCCUUGGCACCACA
rnacentral:tRNA from 1 species